rnacentral:tRNA from 1 species
GACGUGGCUCGGUGGUAAGAGCAUCUGCUUGGCAUGCGGAGGGCCCCAGGUUCAAUUCCCAGCACCUCCA